AAAAUUAACAAAAUAAGUUCAACAAUAUACAAAAGGCAGAGUCUAAAACGAUAUUCUUUCCCAAAAAGGUGCCCAAGAGCCUGAAGCAGAAUCAGAGAGGAGGCAGGCUCUGCUCAAUUCCCUAGGAGGAAAAAAUAUGGAACAACCAUUUCAUCUUGGGUCUGUCCUUUCAUUCUAUUUUCCCCAAGGACAGAUGGAUUUACCAGGUGGAUCUGUGACUUUUGGCCCCUGCUUCAGACCUUCCUGUUCGUGGAGAUCUCCAGCUAGCUCUCCAUCUCAGAACAAGUUAGAGUGCUGAUGGAGGGACUAGAGACAUGGUGAGCACAUCUGUCUAUUCAGGAAGAAUAUCAUAAAUCUACCUGGCCUCAGCUCUCAACACAUACCUUCCAGCUUCAUUA
rnacentral:lncRNA from 1 species